UUGCUUCAGCAGCACAUAUGAUAAAAUUAAAAUGAUACAGAGAAGAUUAGCGUGGCCCCUGUGCAAGGAUGACGUGCAAAUUCGUAAAGUGUUCCACAUUAAC
ensembl:snRNA U6 U6 spliceosomal RNA